ensembl:lncRNA
CGGGAAGGCGCGUGCGUCACCCUGAGGCGAGGCCGGAGCGGGCACGAGGGCGCGCGGGGAUAGCAGUGCGCAUGCGCGGCGGGCUCUGAGGGAGAGGCGGGAGGUUCCCGCCCGGUCCCGUUCCGUGUGCCCGGUGAGGCGGCCCAGCCUGGGGCCGCCGGUCCGUGCAUCAGCUGCCGCGGUGGUACUGAUACCGAGAGAUGUUUGUCCAGAUGUUCUACCUCAUGGGAAAACUGAUCUGGUCCUGUUCCCCAGCAAAAAGGGCUGAAAAGCUAAACAGCAGCCUGGAGCGUGGAGGUUCGAAGUGUUUUUGAGUGACGCUUGCAAAUCUGACUUUUAAACUACCUUUAGAACAAAAUGACUCCUUUUGUGUGGUAAAAGAGUAAGCAUAAACUGUGGAACUGUGGAAACUCCUGCUUCUCAUCACCCAGGAUGCUGAGUACAUAGCAGCGUAUAGCAGAAGGGCAGGCAGUCACCGCUUCUUUCAGAAGGUUCCCCUGCUUAUCUGGAUGGUUUUACCACAAACCCAUGCAAAGAUUUUCUCUUCAUCACUGUUGCACAAAGGGCACAACUGAGGAUCCAAGACCACCACCACUCAGUGCUUCUUCUGACUCGAUUUUCAGUGAGGAAGGUCAAUUGGAGAUCUUAUGGCUCUUAUUACAGCACCCAGCCUCUGUUAAAAGGUUUUCUUUGUGAUAUGUCUUCUGUGUUUUUCUGCCAGAAAGAUUACCUCAUGUAUCCGUAUAAAAUGAAUGAAUUAAAAACAAGCACAGGAGGUGGAUUUAUCACACUGGUUUAUCUGAAGGUUUAGUGUGAAGCUGCUUCUCCUAAAAUCUAUUGUGGUUUUUUUACAGCAGCCACAGCAGUUAUGUCCCUUUUCAAGAAAAACAAUUAAUUCUUUUUUUCCAUUUGUCACUGCUACCAUAUUAUUUCUCUGACGGUCUCAAACAAUACAGCAGCACAUUUCAUCUGCUCAGAGUAUAGGAAAUUUUAAAAAUACUGUAAAAAAAUGAAUGAAUGCUGUAAGAAAUAAAAAAACAUUGGCGAGUGAGGAAGAAAGAAUGUGUAAUUCUAAGGGAAUACAAUUAUUUUUCCUUCCCACACUCUUGCACAAAAGGCAUCACAUGACAGUUCCCUGCUUUUGGCAUUAGUCAGCUGCUGUAUUAGCUUCUAACAUUUGUUGAUAAUUUUCUCUCAUUUGUGCCUGUGUAUAUAAAUCUGGUUAUUUACAUGAAAAAAUGUGCUGCCAGUAAAUAUUGUUAUGUCCCUGAAGAGCUACAUUGUGUUAGCCUUCUGAUAUUUAUACGUCCACAUACAACUAAUCAGCUUCAGUGGAACGUAAACAGUAGAUGUCUGUUAGCCUCCUUCUGAAGGUCAGUGGACAAAAUAAAAAGCAUCAAGGUCACCUGAAGCAGUUUCAAGCUGUUUUAUGCCAUAGUUUAUCCUAUUUCUCUAUAUACUUUUUUUUUUUCUUUUGGUGAGGAUCUGAACUGAUGGCACUUACAGGCAAGAGAUUUGUUUGUGAACAAGUUAAUUGUGAUGCUGCCUGCUGUGCAUACAUAUAGUUCAUAUUAAGCUUUCUUUCACCCUAAAUUUGCAUUCCUUGUUUUAAUCAUUACUGUAAUAAGCAUCUGCAUAAAAAGAAUGCUAGAAAAGAAAUUAGGAAAUGUACUUGCAAUCAUAGUAUGAUCCUCUUUAUAAUAACAUCUUUAAUUCGUGUAGCAUGACCAAUGCAAUUCCUGUCCACUGGCCUUGUAGUUUAUUCAGCUCUUAGUAUGCAAUGAGAAAGAAUUCUGUAAUUAAUGAAGCUGAUCCCCACAGUAUUCCUACCAAAAAUAUAUGUGUAUAUUUAGAAUCAUAUUUAAUACUGCUACUUUGUUGGUAUCUGAGAACUAGCCAACUUGGGAUAUUCUGAUUCUGUGAUUCUAUCCCUAUAUUUAUACUGUAUCAAUGCUGCUAAAUUUCGAGGUCUCUUCCUUUCAAUUACCUGUCCUACCUGGUCUUACGUGGCUUUGAUGCAUGCAGGGGUACCGUGGUGGAGCUUCAGUGCUUGUCAUUACCGACAGGAGCAGCGAAGUUGAGAGUGUAAAAACAAAGUCUCUGUAAUUCUGCACUGGGGAAAUGAUCAAAUUAACCCCCCAGACUGGCUCUCGAAAAGUAAAAUAAAUCCCUUUAUGACAAGUAAUAAUUUACUCCUCUCAAACCUUUCACCACUAAGCAGAACUCAGACACUACAUAAACAUAUGUACAUCUUGGAUUAAUUAUACAUGCCUUCAAAUUCCCCUACAAGUAAUUCAGCACAAGGAUAAUGCAAGAACACACUAAAUAUUCUGAUGGUUGACAUUAGAAAAUGUAACCUCUUGUUCAAGGGAAGCUGGAUUUAUUACCAUGAGUGUAGCUUUUGCAUGUUGUAGGUGACACACUAGGAAAUUCUUUCAGACUGGGUAUGUGCCAAAGCAGUCCUGAGCAAAAGCUGUAUUAGGGCCUUAUAUAAAGUGAAGUCCUGUCCUUAGCCUGCUGAACUGUGGAGUUCAUUGUCAUGGGAUGCUUUUGACAGAAAAAGUGAUGGGGAAUAGGGCCAGCACUGGCUUUGAAAUUCAGUGGUUAGUUUGAUUUCCAGUUAUUUGUUAGUUUUAGGUGGAAGGAAGGAUCAUCUAUAGUUAUCCAUCUGCCAGACCAGUCAUCUCUGACUAACCGUUAUUGGGACUGGUUGUUAGGUCUGCAGUACCUUUGGUCUGACCCACUUCAAGCUCCAUGAAUUACUCUAGUCAGAAUUCAGAGCAUCUAAAUACCGUAGGUGCCAUUUUCGUGCUUUGUCCUAUACCACUGCUAUUCGUAAGCAAGUCCUAGAAGAACUUACUAGCUGGUACGUAUAUAAUCAUCUCUCUUUAAUAAGUUUUAAAUCACUCUUCCCAAUUACCAAAUGCCUGUGAGUACAAGUGUUGCAAGAUUUCCUGAGUAAUGCUUCUCUGUCUGUUUUAUUGGCUACUUUGUGAUUUUGUAAACCUUGAGCUCAUCUUUCUUCAGUCUUCUCCAAAUUAAGGCAUCAAAGUCCUGCUGGUCUCUCCUCCAAAAUCAGCCUGCUUCAUCCCCGUGAUCACAUUAAAUACCUUUUCUCUGUAUCUGCUCAAAUUUUACUGUCCUUUUCAUGCUCACACUCUGGUCUUCACAUCUCAAAAUCUGGACUCACAAAUGCUUUUCAUAGCAGAAAAAUGGUGCCUUUUUAUCCUCUCUAAUACAUUUCAUUGUUUUUAUUGUUUGGGGUGUUUUUUUUUCUGGGGGGGGGGGGCGGCUGCUACAUCAUAAUAUAUUGAAGGUACCCCUAAUUUUAGGCAUAAAAAAAUAAAAUUCCCUCUUAUUCAGUAUGUUUCUCAAGUGGUUUAUCAUCAUAUUAAAAAAAAAUGUACAUGUAGUUUUGCAUUUAAAAUUUUAUAUGUUUAAUAUUCAAACUGUGGUUGGUUGUUGUUUUUUUUUUAAGUGCUCUACCUACUGCUUUCUCCUGUCACUGUCAAUGAGUGUAUACGUUAUUUGUGCAUAAUGUACACAAUGCUUCUGAGCUGUCAUUUUAGCACAGGAUCUAAUGCUAACAGAAGAGCAAUCCUGGACUUAGCUACCAGGAUGCAGAGAUCCUUCAAAACAAUGCACAAGAAAAACCAGCUUCUCCUGCAUGUUUGGUUUUGUUCUUAGGAAAGUACUAAACCUAAGAAAGCAGAGCUUUGGUUCUCUUAAUGAGCCAGCUUGCUUCAAGAUUCAAUAUACAUUUUUUCUUGUUGGCUUCUAAAGUGAGUAGAAUGAGUACUGUGUAGUCGAAUAAAUGAGACAAAACUGUCUAUCACUGGAACCAAGGCAGGAGAAAAGAAAAAAAAAAAUCAGCCUUUGGAAUAAGUGUAUAUAAAUAUUUGUUUCAGCUAAAAUAUAUUACUUUGCUACUAACUUUAAUCAAACAAACAUGUUUUGGAUCAUUCUUGGGGAGAUGUUUUGCUGCGUUCAUUGAUAGCUCUCAAAGGGCCAAGGUAGGAGAAGCAUCUGUCUAAGUUUGCAGAUUUUCAUUGACAUAACUUGGUUUCUGUGCACUGGUAACAUUGAUUCUGGUGGUAACAAUUACAUUUUUU